AUUGAACGCUGGCGGCAGGCCUAACACAUGCAAGUCGAGCGGCAGCGGAAAGCAGCUUGCUACUUUGCCGGCGAGCGGCGGACGGGUGAGUAAUGUCUGGGAAACUGCCUGAUGGAGGGGGAUAACUACUGGAAACGGUAGCUAAUACCGCAUAACGUCGCAAGACCAAAGAGGGGGACCUUCGGGCCUCUUGCCAUCAGAUGUGCCCAGAUGGGAUUAGCUAGUAGGUGGGGUAAUGGCUCACCUAGGCGACGAUCCCUAGCUGGUCUGAGAGGAUGACCAGCCACACUGGAACUGAGACACGGUCCAGACUCCUACGGGAGGCAGCAGUGGGGAAUAUUGCACAAUGGGCGCAAGCCUGAUGCAGCCAUGCCGCGUGUAUGAAGAAGGCCUUCGGGUUGUAAAGUACUUUCAGCGGGGAGGAAGGUGUUGAGGUUAAUAACCUCAGCAAUUGACGUUACCCGCAGAAGAAGCACCGGCUAACUCCGUGCCAGCCGCCGCGGUAA
rnacentral:rRNA from 1 species